rnacentral:rRNA from 2 species
AGACCUCUAAUCGGAAAAGACCACCCGCUGAGUUUAA